CCUGGCCAUGCUCCUUCAUCCAUCAGGGACCCACUUGCUUCUUUCUCUUCCAGAGACUACCACAACCUCACCCACGACUGCAGAAACCACUACUCCAGAUACCACAACCACAACGGGCAUCAUCUGUGACACCCUUCCAGAUACCACCACCACGACCACCACCACAGGCCCCACUACUCCAGGUGGGUCUGAAUUUAUCCUUGUUUUUCUGG